GACGAACCGUGCGAACGUUGUUCGGAAUCACUGGGCUUAAAGGGCGCGUAGGCGGGUGACCAAGUCAGGGGUGAAAUCUUUCGGCUCAACCGGAAAAGUGCCUCUGAUACUGGUCGUCUUGAGGGAGGUAGGGGUCGAGGGAACUGGUGGUGGAGCGGUGAAAUGCGUAGAUAUCACUAGGAACGCCGGUGGCGAAAGCGCUCGACUGGACCUCUUCUGACGCUGAGGCGCGAAAGCCAGGGGAGCAAACGGG
rnacentral:rRNA from 1 species